UUACAUUUUGAUUGCUAUUUUUCCCCUUCUUUUCUGUGUCUUUAAUAAAAGGUUAAAGGGAUUUCUAUUGGUGUGUUUUCCAUGGUCCUAAGCAGGCUGAGGUCUUUGUAUACCGAAGCCAAGACCUUGU